rnacentral:rRNA from 1 species
UACGGAGGUUGCAAGCGUUAUUCGGAAUUAUUGGGCGUAAAGGGCGUGUAGGCGGCCAGAUAAGUCAGAGGUGAAAGCCCGGGGCUCAACCCCGGAAGUGCCUUUGAAACUAUUUGGCUUGAGUGCGGGAGAGGAAAGCGGAAUUCCCAGUGUAGAGGUGAAAUUCGUAGAUAUUGGGAGGAACACCGGUGGCGAAGGCGGCUUUCUGGACCGACACUGACGCUGAGGCGCGAAAGCGUGGGGAGCAAACAGG